rnacentral:miRNA from 1 species
ACGCGCAUGAGAGAUGACACUG